AGAGUUUGAUCCUGGCUCAGAUUGAACGCUGGCGGCAUGCCUUACACAUGCAAGUCGAACGGCAGCGCGGGGCAACCUGGCGGCGAGUGGCGAACGGGUGAGUAAUAUAUCGGAACGUACCCUGGAGUGGGGGAUAACGUAGCGAAAGUUACGCUAAUACCGCAUACGAUCUAAGGAUGAAAGCAGGGGACCGCAAGGCCUUGUGCUCCUGGAGCGGCCGAUAUCUGAUUAGCUAGUUGGUGGGGUAAAGGCCCACCAAGGCAUCGAUCAGUAGCUGGUCUGAGAGGACGACCAGCCACACUGGAACUGAGACACGGUCCAGACUCCUACGGGAGGCAGCAGUGGGGAAUUUUGGACAAUGGGCGCAAGCCUGAUCCAGCAAUGCCGCGUGAGUGAAGAAGGCCUUCGGGUUGUAAAGCUCUUUUGUCAGGGAAGAAACGGCCGUUUCUAAUACAGAUGGCUAAUGACGGUACCUGAAGAAUAAGCACCGGCUAACUACGUGCCAGCAGCCGCGGUAAUACGUAGGGUGCAAGCGUUAAUCGGAAUUACUGGGCGUAAAGCGUGCGCAGGCGGUUUUGUAAGUCUGUCGUGAAAUCCCCGGGCUCAACCUGGGAAUGGCGAUGGAGACUGCAAGGCUAGAGUUUGGCAGAGGGGGGUAGAAUUCCACGUGUAGCAGUGAAAUGCGUAGAUAUGUGGAGGAACACCGAUGGCGAAGGCAGCCCCCUGGGUCAAAACUGACGCUCAUGCACGAAAGCGUGGGGAGCAAACAGGAUUAGAUACCCUGGUAGUCCACGCCCUAAACGAUGUCUACUAGUUGUCGGGUCUUAAUUGACUUGGUAACGCAGCUAACGCGUGAAGUAGACCGCCUGGGGAGUACGGUCGCAAGAUUAAAACUCAAAGGAAUUGACGGGGACCCGCACAAGCGGUGGAUGAUGUGGAUUAAUUCGAUGCAACGCGAAAAACCUUACCUACCCUUGACAUGGAAGGAAUCCCGGAGAGAUUUGGGAGUGCCCGAAAGGGAACCUUUACACAGGUGCUGCAUGGCUGUCGUCAGCUCGUGUCGUGAGAUGUUGGGUUAAGUCCCGCAACGAGCGCAACCCUUGUCAUUAGUUGCUACGAAAGAGCACUCUAAUGAGACUGCCGGUGACAAACCGGAGGAAGGUGGGGAUGACGUCAAGUCCUCAUGGCCCUUAUGGGUAGGGCUUCACACGUCAUACAAUGGUACAUACAGAGGGCCGCCAACCCGCGAGGGGGAGCUAAUCCCAGAAAGUGUAUCGUAGUCCGGAUUGUAGUCUGCAACUCGACUGCAUGAAGUUGGAAUCGCUAGUAAUCGCGGAUCAGCAUGUCGCGGUGAAUACGUUCCCGGGUCUUGUACACACCGCCCGUCACACCCUGGGAGCGGGUUUUACCAGAAGUAGGUAGCUUAACCGUAAGGAGGGCGCUUACCACGG
rnacentral:rRNA from 1 species